rnacentral:precursor_RNA from 1 species
UGCGCGCGGCCGGGCCCCGCGGCGCUCUGAGGCCCUCGGGGUCUUUGCCGGCGCAGA